rnacentral:lncRNA from 1 species
GCUGUGUUGAGGGCAUCCAGUCUGUGGAGGGCUGACUUUACACAAUGACACCUGCAGAGGAGAGACCAUGUCUCCAGCUUGUGGUGUGGUUGCAGGUUAGGAUUUGAGUGACUCUGAGAGGUCAUAGCUGGUGGUUUCUACCUGGGCAUUGGGCAGUUGGCUUAGGAAGUAGGUUACCAACAGGUAUCUCUUGCAGCAGAUUCUGACUGGGCAGAUGUGUGGCUAAAAUAUAAGAGACAUAUCUUCUCCUCAGAUGGGCUUCCUGGAAUACAGAAAUAAAACUUCAUGAGCAGAUCAGAGACAGAACAUAUCAACAGACUACUUGAGUGCCCUGGGGGAACUGUUAAGUUGAUGCAUAAAAUCAGACAUCACUUGAAAAUCUCUGUGCCUACCAUCCUAGAACUUCUGGAUUACAGAGUUCACUCACAUCUCUGUUAUAACCAAUGUAUGACCUGGGAAGAAACCCAGUGUAGAGAAGAAAGUAAAAACCUUCUCAGUGUAUCUUCUCAAAUGUAA